UCCGGUUUGACACCGGCAGUCUCCCUAGAGUUCCCGGCUUUACCCGCUGGUAACUAGGGACGAGGGUUGCGCUCGUUGCGGGACUUAACCCAACAUCUCACGACACGAGCUGACGACAGCCAUGCAGCACCUGUGCACGGACUCCGAAGAGGGGCCGAUGUUUCCACCGGCUUUCCCGUGCAUGUCAAGCCCAGGUAAGGUGGGGAUGACGUUGCGGCAUUAGCCA
rnacentral:misc_RNA from 1 species